rfam:Hyaloperonospora arabidopsidis Emoy2 Contig22.13, whole genome shotgun sequence.
AAGUACUCUUGAACAGCAUGGAUCAUUUCUAUAGUACCUUCUUUUCUACUUGACUUUCCUAGUAGACAACCUCCUUAACUUUGAUGAUCGCAUUCGACUUCAUGCAUUGACUCGGGAUGUCGGUGGUAGUGCUGUGCUCUCUUUGGGACUGGCCUCCUCCGUUGAUGAACGUCCGCUGUCGUUAUUCCAAGACGGCGUGAGUGUGUGAAGUGAUAUGAGAAGU